GGGGUUGUGGCUCAGUGGUGGAGUGCUUUUUUUGCACAUAUGAGGCCCUGGGUUUGAUCCUCAGCACCACA
rnacentral:tRNA from 1 species